AUUGAACGCUGGCGGCAGGCCUAACACAUGCAAGUCGAGCGGAUGAGUGGAGCUUGCUCCAUGAUUCAGCGGCGGACGGGUGAGUAAUGCCUAGGAAUCUGCCUGGUAGUGGGGGACAACGUUUCGAAAGGAACGCUAAUACCGCAUACGUCCUACGGGAGAAAGUGGGGGAUCUUCGGACCUCACGCUAUCAGAUGAGCCUAGGUCGGAUUAGCUAGUUGGUGAGGUAAAGACUCACCAAGGCGACGAUCCGUAACUGGUCUGAGAGGAUGAUCAGUCACACUGGAACUGAGACACGGUUCAGACUCCUACGGGAGGCAGCAGUGGGGAAUAUUGGACCAUGGGCGAAAGCCUGAUCCAGCCAUGCCGCGUGUGUGAAGAAGGUCUUCGGAUUGUAAAGCACUUUAAGUUGGGAGGAAGGGCAGUAAGUUAAUACCUUGCUGUUUUGACGUUACCAACAGAAUAAGCACCGGCUAACUUCGUGCCAGCAGCCGCCGUAACAC
rnacentral:rRNA from 1 species